rnacentral:rRNA from 1 species
AUUGGGUUUAAAGGGUGCGUAGGCGGCCUGUUAAGUCAGCGGUGAAAUCUAGGAGCUUAACUCCUAAAUUGCCAUUGAUACUGGCGGGCUUGAGUGUAGAUGAGGUAGGCGGAAUGCGUGGUGUAGCGGUGGAAUGCAUAGAUAUCACGCAGAACUCCGAUUGCGAAGGCAGCUUACUAAGGUACAACUGACGCUGAAGCACGAAAGCGUGGGUAUCAAACAGGAUUAGAUACCCUGGUAGUCCACGCAGUAAACGAUGAUAACUGGGCGUAUGCGAUAUACAGUAUGCUCCUAAGCGAAAGCGUUAAGUUAUCCACCUGGGGAGUACGCCGGCAACGGUGAAACUCAAAGGAAUUGACGGGGGCCCGCACAAGCGGAGGAACAUGUGGUUUAAUUCGAUGAUACGCGAGGAACCUUACCCGGGAUUGAAAUGUAGAUGACCGCUCCUGAAAGGGAGUUUUCCUUCGGGACAUCUAUGUAGGUGCUGCAUGGUUGUCGUCAGCUCGUGUCGUGA